rnacentral:lncRNA from 1 species
GAGCGCCCUUCUUCUCUCGCCGCCCGUGCAGCGGAGGUCGCCCGCGCCGCCGCAAGCUGCGACACCCCCCCCCCCCCCCCCAACCCAAAUGGCACCGUCGGCUGCCCCUCUGUCGCCGACAUCCAUCCCAUCGCCGGAUCUAGGAGAGCUUCGCCCGAAUCCUCUUUUGAUUCUUGCGUGUUGGUGGUGGGUGGAGAGCAGCGGUACCAACGACAUUUGAAGCACAGAGGGUGGCAGGAUUCGGAGAGGAGGCUGCGGAUCUGGGGUCCGAUGGGUCGUUCUCCCUCCUCCCCUAAAACGGUGGCGAAGAAUGUCAGUAAAUUGUCGUUGGCGUCGUGCGCGGCAGCGGCCAUGCUUGAUCCUGGGCUGCCCAUCCUGAUUCCUAAUGCUACCGCCACACAGUCCUGUUCUACGCUGGUUGGUUGGCGAGCCAGCCGCCUCCACUACAACAUUCGUCCAUCAAAGAUGGAUCCCGCGGUGAAGAGGAGGAUCUGCUGAUCUGAAUUUCUUUGAUGAUUUUUGUUGGAGUGUUUAUAUCCUUUGUAAUUUUUUUACUUUUGAGUUUAAGCAUGUAAUUUGUCUAUUGUAUAGUGUGUGUCUGAAUGUAACAGAACCCGUGUGUAAAAGAAAAUAUUGUUAAUAGAGGCUACAAUGUUAACUGGUAGCUUGAUUGUCUGGUGAAUACAAGUUAAUCGGCAAUAUAGUGUGGAGGUGAAUAAUAUCUGACCGGCAGUGAUU